rnacentral:rRNA from 1 species
ACCCGGAGGAAGAGAAAGAAAAUUCGAUUCCCUUAGUAGCGGCGAGCGAAACGGGAAGAGCCCAAACCAACAAGCUUGCUUGUUGGGGUUGUAGGACACUCUAUACGGAGUUACAAAGGACGACAUUAGACGAAUCAUCUGGAAAGAUGAAUCAAAGAAGGUAAUAAUCCUGUAGUCGAAAAUGUUGUCUCUCUUGAGUGGAUCCUGAGUACGACGGAGCACGUGAAAUUCCGUC